GUGGGGAAUAUUGGGCAAUGGGCGAAAGCCUGACCCAGCAACGCCGCGUGAAGGAAGAAGGUUUUCGGAUCGUAAACUUCUAUCCUUGGUGAAGAUAAUGACGGUAGCCAAGAAGGAAGCCCCGGCUAACUACGUGCCAGCAGCCGCGGUAAUACGUAGGGGGCAAGCGUUGUCCGGAAUGAUUGGGCGUAAAGGGCGCGUAGGCGGCCCGGUAAGUCUGAAGUGAAAGUCCUGCUUUUAAGGUGGGAAUUGCGUUGGUUACUGUCGGGCUUGAGGACAGGAGAGGUAAGUGGAAUUCCCGGUGUAGCGGUGAAAUGCGGAGAGAUCGGGAGGAACACCAGUGGCGAAGGCGACUUACUGGACUGUAACUGACGCUGAGGCUCGAAAGCCAGGGGAGCGAACGGGAUUAGAAACCCGAGUAGUCC
rnacentral:rRNA from 1 species